GACGAACGCUGGCGGCGUGCCUAAUACAGCAAGUUGAGCGCUGAAGGUUGGUACUUGUACCGACUGGAUGAGCAGCGAACGGGUGAGUAACGCGUGGGGAAUCUGCCUUUGAGCGGGGGACAACAUUUGGAAACGAAUGCUAAUACCGCAUAAAAACCUUAAACACAAGUUUUAAGUUUGAAAGAUGCAAUUGCAUCACUCAAAGAUGAUCCCGCGUUGUAUUAGCUAGUUGGUGAGGUAAAGGCUCACCAAGGCGAUGAUACA
rnacentral:rRNA from 1 species